rnacentral:rRNA from 1 species
AGCAGUCGCCACGGUAAUACAGAGGGUGCGAGCGUUAAUCGGAUUUACUGGGCGUAAAGCGUGAGUAGGCGGCUUCUUAAGUCGGAUGUGAAAUCCCUGAGCUUAACUUAGGAAUUGCAUUCGAUACUGGGAAGCUAGAGUAUGGGAGAGGAUGGUAGAAUUCCAGGUGUAGCGGUGAAAUGCGUAGAGAUCUGGAGGAAUACCGAUGGCGAAGGCAGCCAUCUGGCCUAAUACUGACGCUGAGGUACGAAAGCAUGGGGAGCAAACAGGAUUAGAUACCCCAGUAGUCCCUGUCUCUUAUAC